rnacentral:rRNA from 1 species
GAUGAACGCUAGCGGCAGGCUUAACACAUGCAAGUCGAGGGGUAGGAGAAGCUUGCUUUUCUGAGACCGGCGCACGGGUGCGUAACGCGUAUGCAAUCUACCUUUCACAGAGGGAUAGCCCAGAGAAAUUUGGAUUAAUACCUCAUAGUAAUAUGAAAUGGCAUCAAGAAGUAUUUAAAGAUUUAUCGGUGAAAGAUGAGCAUGCGUCCCAUUAGCUAGUUGGUAUGGUAACGGCAUACCAAGGCAACGAUGGGUAGGGGUCCUGAGAGGGAGAUCCCCCACACUGGUACUGAGACACGGACCAGACUCCUACGGGAGGCAGCAGUGAGGAAUAUUGGACAAUGGGCGCAAGCCUGAUCCAGCCAUGCCGCGUGCAGGAUGACGGUCCUAUGGAUUGUAAACUGCUUUUAUACAGGAAGAAACACUUCUUCGUGUAGAGACUUGACGGUACUGUAAGAAUAAGGAUCGGCUAACUCCGUGCCAGCAGCCGCGGUAAUACGGAGGAUCCAAGCGUUAUCCGGAAUCAUUGGGUUUAAAGGGUCCGUAGGCGGUCAGGUAAGUCAGUGGUGAAAGCCCAUCGCUCAACGGUGGAACGGCCAUUGAUACUGUCUGACUUGAAUUAUUAGGAAGUAACUAGAAUAUGUAGUGUAGCGGUGAAAUGCUUAGAGAUUACAUGGAAUACCAAUUGCGAAGGCAGGUUACUACUAAUUGAUUGACGCUGAUGGACGAAAGCGUGGGUAGCGAACAGGAUUAGAUACCCUGGUAGUCCACGCCGUAAACGAUGGAUACUAGCUGUUGGGAGCAAUCUCAGUGGCUAAGCGAAAGUGAUAAGUAUCCCACCUGGGGAGUACGAACGCAAGUUUGAAACUCAAAGGAAUUGACGGGGGCCCGCACAAGCGGUGGAGCAUGUGGUUUAAUUCGAUGAUACGCGAGGAACCUUACCAAGGCUUAAAUGUAGAUUGACCGUUUGGAAACAGAACU